UACGUAGGGGGCAAGCGUUGUCCGGAUUUAUUGGGCGUAAAGAGCGUGUAGGCGGCCUGAAAGGUCAGCUGUGAAAACUCGAGGCUCAACCUCGAGACGUCGGUUGAAACCAUCUGGCUAGAGUCCGGAAGAGGAGUGUGGAAUUCCCGGUGUAGCGGUGAAAUGCGUAGAUAUUGGGAGGAACACCAGUGGCGAAGGCGGCUCACUGGACCGGAACUGACGCUGAGGCGCGAAAGCGUGGGGAGCAAACGGG
rnacentral:rRNA from 1 species